AGGAAGAUAGUUUAUUUAGUUGAAACGUACUGUUCAUAACGGUGAUAUUGUAGGUUUGAACCCUACUAUGCCUA
rnacentral:tRNA from 1 species